GCGCGCGGCCGCGGCGCGCAAGAUGGCGGCGAGCCCGGGCACCGCCCCUUCCGCCCCGCCGGGUGUCGCACGAGGC
ensembl:miRNA